AGCGAACGCUGGCGGCAGGCCUAACACAUGCAAGUCGAACGAAGCCUUCGGGCUUAGUGGCGGACGGGUGAGUAACACGUGGGAACGUACCUUUUGGUUCGGAACAACUCAGGGAAACUUGAGCUAAUACCGGAUGAGCCCUUAGGGGGAAAGAUUUAUCGCCGAAAGAGCGGCCCGGGUUAGAUUAGCUAGUUGGUGAGGUAAAGGCUCACCAAGGCAACGAUCUAUAGCUGGUCUGAGAGGAUGAUCAGCCACACUGGGACUGGGACACGGCCCAGACUCCUACGGGAGGCAGCAGUGGGGAAUCUUGCGCAAUGGGCGAAAGCCUGACGCAGCCAUGCCGCGUGAAUGAUGAAGGUCUUAGGAUUGUAAAAUUCUUUUACCGGGGACGAUAAUGACGGUACCUGGAGAAAAAGCCCCGGCUAACUUCGUGCCAGCAGCCGCCGUAAUAC
rnacentral:rRNA from 1 species